rnacentral:snRNA from 1 species
AGAGUUGGACACGACUAAACGACGAUGAAAAAAUGAUAUUCCUAGGGGGAGGCUCAUCCAUUGUGCUUUGGGUGUGCUGCUGAUCCCUGUGAUUUCCCUAAAUAUGGGGAACUCAGCUGCAUAAUUUAUGUUAAUGAGGGGGUUACAUUUAUUAUUUCCCUGU